rfam:Folsomia candida strain VT population Fcan01_Sc002, whole genome shotgun sequence.
UCCCGUGUGGUCUAGUGGUUAGGAUUUCCCGCUUUCACCGGGACGGCCCGGGUUCGAUUCCCGGCACGGGAA